rnacentral:lncRNA from 1 species
ACUUGAAUGGAUCUGUUUCAUAUUUUUCUCUAGUACAUGUUCCAUCAAUGAAACCUAUUUUGUUCUUCACUAAAAGAGACAUUUUCAUAGAACGACUCCAUUCCAAGUAGUUCUCUGUUCCGACCAACAAUUGAGGAACCGGCACAAUCCCCGGUGUGUCUGAGGGAUGAACGAACAAGAAUCGUUGCAAUCAAGCGAUUGACUAUUUGCAUGUGAAGAUCCGACUCAAGUUUGUGUAAAAUCACCCGCCAUCACGGUAAAAUUCGUCAAUAUUUAGAAAUUAGGGCUAGAAAGAAAAAUGAAGAAGAGAGAACUUGAUUUGGGAAAAUUGAGAAGAAAAGAACUAUCAGCAGCUUCAGAUUACAGAUCGUACUGGACCCACUCUAAUACCAUGUUAAAACCAAGCUAGAUCUGCCAUGGAUAUAGAGGCAAGAUCUAGUGAGAAGGAACAAAAUACGGAGAGCAAUAUAUAUGAACG